CUUCACUUGAUAUACUCGAGAGCUCCUCGAGACUUCUACAAGGGGCAAAAACUGCAAACCCCAUGAUGGUUUCCACACCAGAAAAGCUGAAACCAUAUGUAUCUCAGAGUGUCGUAUACAAGUGAACACAAACGAGUCAACCGAAGCUUCCAAGUAACCAUCAGGAGAUAGAGGUCAAGGGGAGUGGGAAGCUGCUGCAGACGUAAUGGAAGGGAACGAACCAUCUGGCAUAAUAGCAGUAUAAAGAGAGUAGUCAGCAGAAGUUGUAUAUGUUAUUGUUACUAUUAAAAGAUUAAUAAACAUAAGUUGAUGAUCACUAUGAAUCAGUACUGAAACAGAGUUGAAAACA